CCUACGGGAGGCAGCAGUAAGGAAUAUUGGUCAAUGGGCGCAAGCCUGAACCAGCCAUGCCGCGUGCAGGAAGACGGCCCUAUGGGUUGUAAACUGCUUUUGAACAAGAGAAAACCUCGGUACGUGUACCGAGCUGAUAGUAUUGUUAGAAUAAGCAUCGGCUAACUUCGUGCCAGCAGCCGCGGUAAGACGAAGGAUGCAAGCGUUAUCCGGAUUCAUUGGGUUUAAAGGGUGCGUAGGCGGCCUGAUAAGUCAGUGGUGAAAUCUCUCAGCUUAACUGAGAAACUGCCAUUGAUACUGUCGGGCUUGAGUACAGAUGAUGUGGGCGGAAUAUGACCAUGUAGUGGUGAAAUACUUAGAUAUGUCAUAGAACACCGAUUGCGAAGGCAGCUCACAAAACUGUAACUGACGCUGAGGCACGAAAGUGCGGGGAUCAAACAGGAUUAGAUACCCUGGUAGUCCGCACCGUAAACGAUGAUUACUCGUUGUUGGACAAUAUGACCGUUCGAGCGACCAGCGAAAGCGAUAAGAAUCCCNCGNGGAGACGCGCGACGAGAGACGAAGAGUAGAGACGNGAGAGNGCGACGGACGACGACGAGGGAGGAG
rnacentral:rRNA from 1 species